rnacentral:lncRNA from 10 species
GCAUGUCAGAGCAUCUGUCCUGGUUUCCCUCAUUCUCAGUCAGGUGGUUGAGUUAUCCAAGCCUUCAUAACCAGAGGGUCUGAGCACUUGUUGGACUGUGCUUACUGCAGCUUCUCAUUUACAAUUACCACUGCACCUGAGAGUACCAAGAGAUUCCUGAGCCAGAGAUUACGAUUUCCAACUUCCAGCUCCUCAAGAUGGAGAAACAGAGGGAAGAAGAGACUUGGAAUCACUCUGUCCUGGCUGUGGGUCUAUGAAAAAGAAUGUGGCCUACUGCUAAAUACAUUGAUUUUGAAGCUAGAUAGCUCUGGUUUUGGGGAGCAAGUGAUUUGAUCUCUCAGAGACUCAGCUACUUCAUCAGUAAACAGAGAUUACCAUAUCCACCAGUAAUGGCUAUAGGAGCAGUAAUAGGGAUGAUAUAGGUGAAAGCACUGAUCACUGAAUGAUUCCAAAGACAGGUGCAGAGAGGUUCAGGCAUCAGACAGGCUACCUGGAUCCAAAUCCCAGCUCCAUCAUUUACUACUUUCAUGGCCUUUACAAACCACUAAAC